rnacentral:tRNA from 1 species
GCGGGCGUAACUCAGUUGGUAGAGUGUCAGCUUCCCAAGCUGAAUGUCGUCGGUUCGAGCCCGAUCGCCCGCU